UACGUAGGGUGCAAGCGUUAAUCGGAAUUACUGGGCGUAAAGCGUGCGCAGGCGGUUUUGUAAGUCUGUCGUGAAAUCCCCGGGCUCAACCUGGGAAUUGCGAUGGAGACUGCAAGGCUAGAAUCUGGCAGAGGGGGGUAGAAUUCCACGUGUGAGCAGUGAAAUGCGUAGAGAUGUGGGAGGAACACCGAUGGCGAAGGCAGCCCCCUGGGUCAAGAUUGACGCUCAUGCACGAAAGCGUGGGGAGCAACAGG
rnacentral:rRNA from 1 species